rnacentral:lncRNA from 1 species
CCUGUAAGGAAACCUGUGUCCCUCAAACUAAGUGACCUGGAAGUUUCCAAGUGAAAAACCAGCCUGCAAAACUCCCUGAGAUUUUGCUAAAAGCAUUUUGCUAACAGCAAGAGAUGAGUGAGAGACUUCCCCCUUCUCCCAGCACAGGUUAGAGAAAGGUGUGAAUCAGAAACUUUUCCCUUUUCUCCAAGCCCUGAGGGAAAAAAAAUGAUAUUCCAUCUGCAGCGGUUGCAGCCACUUUGGAAGUCCUAGCAGCAAUUUGGACAGGACUGCUGCAAACAGAAGAAGGCAAAAAUGAGUGUGUCCUCCUGCAUUGAAAUGUCUUGGUGAAGACAGAAAAUUUUCACCACACCUUUGUGACUUGGGAACACUGAACAUAGAGAUGUAGAAACCAAAUCCCAUUUUAGCAGUCAUCUGCACACCUCCAGGUCCAGCUUGGAAAACUG